AUGAGGUGCGGCAAGUUGCUUGCUGCUUAAAAGGGAAGUGCGAUGCGAUUUCGCCACGGUACCCGCCACUGUAAUUUGGAGCAAAUUAGGAUAACUCACUGAGCAAUCGGGAAGAGCUAAUGCGCGCUGAAGAUAAGUCAGGAGACCUGCCUCAUCAAGUAA
rnacentral:ncRNA from 1 species